AAGUCGUAACAAGGUUUCCGUAGGUGAACCUGCGGAAGGAUCAUUAACACGUAUCCAACGUUAAACAACCCUGUGAACUUUCAGACGCUCUUGUAGCCCAGGCGGAACAGCAAUCCCGGUAAAUCAAUGGCGGAAAAGUUUUGAUUCGGGACCUCAAGGAUCCACUGAGUAAGGAUAACGCAUCACGGUUGCUAGAGGUCGAUCACCGGCCGGCAGACAUGUCACAGGGCUACAUGCCCCUUCGUUCACCCCUUGCCUAAAACUCGCCCACCGGAAACGCUGGGCACAAAAACCGAACAACUGUUAACAAUGGAUAUCUUGGUUCUC
rnacentral:misc_RNA from 1 species